GACCUUAGAGACCUGUGCUGGAUCGUUUUAUAUGUUGUUUGAUAUGUACAGACAUUUUCAUUCUUCUGGGGGAAGAUUUAAAAAUCCAGGGCAAAGUGGGAAGGCAGUCAUCAGUGGCAGCAAGACCUGUGUUGUUCCUGGUGUUCUGAGAAACCAUGGGCAGGCCUCCUUCAGUCUCUGCUCUGCAGAAACUGCCUUUGCACAAAGAAAAGACCUGAGACCUACUUUUUGCUUUGUUUUCCUAAAUUCCCUGCGGUUAUGUUGACUUGCUCAUUCUAUGAGGAUGACUUAACCGUCUGAUAAAAAUAUCUUGAAUUUUCCAAAAAUACAGCAGCCGGAUUUUGUAAGGUUAAUAGAAAAAUCUAAAUGAUAUUUGUCUCCUUCCCUCUUUUCCCAUCUUCCCAAACAGAAAUUAGCACUAAGGAGGUAGAAGCAUGAUUGCUGGUUUUGAUGACACAAAGUGAGUUAGUGUGGAGCCGUGCAGUCCGUCAGGGUGGGCAUUUCAUAGCUGAGCUCUCAGUGCUGGUGCUAGCUUGUUUUUUGUCAUGUAGCACAGGAAGAUCUUGACCCUCUGCUCAUCUUGCCUCUGCCUCUCAGAUGUUUGGAUUGCAAGUGGGAAAUUUGUGCAUGGUAGGCAAGUAUUCCGCCAAUUGAGUCUGGCUUGUAGGCCGUUUUUAUAUGGUGACAGGUUCCAGAUUGGUGUGGCAGACUGAUAGCUUGUGGGCCAGGUGCAGAGUCCACGUGUGUAUUGCUUGACUCUAGAGUGCUUCGUUGUACAUGUUAUGGAAAACUGGCAAACAUUUAGUCAGAUAAAUGCAAGAAUACAAAAAUGGAUGUUUUAUGCCUAUUAAAUUUAAAAAUAUGUCUUGUUUUUACCUUGUAUUCAGUUCAUGGUCUGUUUUAUAUAGUUGUCUCCAAAAUUACUUCAGUUUAUUUAUUUAUUUAUAAAUAAUCCUUGAGAAACUUUUAAUUUUAGCAUUUUGUACAGGCAGAAAUUAUAAAGAAUGAGACAUAAAUGUGAUAUCAAUUAAAAAACAAAACAAAACCCCCACCAACCACCAUGAAAACAGGCCAACUAAGAUCGUAAGAGAACCAAAACCACUUCAUCUGUCUAUCUCUGAAGAGCAGUGCCUCCCGGGGUCUUCACAUCCGCCUCUUCUGUGUACUUAUGUACAGCACAUUGUUCCUCAGAUGAACGCAUCUCCAUACUUAUCUCCAGCUGUCCGUUUACAUACUCCCCUGUCUGUUCCAGGGCUAUAUUCAUGUAGCCAUCCAGGCAGGCCAGCAGCCCUCAACAGUUCACUCCAGAAUUUAAUUUCACCACAACUGGCUGCCCGAUGAUCUGCUUUAAGAAGUCACUAGGGGUUUGCUUCGGAAGGCUCGUUUUUAACAGUCUUGGGAGGCAGGGAACCUGAGUUCUAAUCUCCUCUCCUACUUAAGUAGCUGUGUAUCACCAUUUCACCUGUCAUGGCCCCAGGCUCAUCUUGCAGCCAGAUCCAGAACCCUUGAAGGCCAGGCCUCUGUGGACACACCCAGUUAUUUAUUUUUAAAUUUUAUUUAUGUAUUUUAUGGAAUUGAACCCAAAGCCUCUUGCAUAGUGGGCAAACAUUUAACUGUAGAGCUACAGCCUCAACCCAUGUUGGUUCCUUUAAGUGAGGACCCCACAGGGUAAUAGUGCUUGCUCCUAGUAUUAGGUUGUCUUUGAAUGUAAGUCUUUUUAUACUGUUGUUCGUCUGAUCCAUUUGUUACAGAAUUGAGGUCCGUCCGAGGGUCCUGUAGAAGUACCAUCCUCUGGUUUUGUCAGCUUCCUUUUAUGUCUUUUCUCCCCAGAGCUGGAGAUUGAACCCAGGGCCUCGCGUGUGUAGGGCAAGAGCUCCACCACCACUGACUUGUUCCCAGCCCUGCUUGUGUGUUAUAGCUCGUGUUCCCGUAUUGCCAGAGAUGGACCCAAGCCCUCAAAGCUUCCAGACACAAGGCUUGGUUGUCAGACCUGAUCAGUGAGUUCAGGUGGUGUCAACCGUGACCUUAGGUUCUCUCUUAAUCUUUACCCUUGUUUUUCAACCCAAUAGUUCAUUGGUCAUUUUCCUUAGUUCUAUUCCUUCACAUUAGAAUUCUUCUAUAUGUUGGACCCUCCUCCAUGAAGUAGGGCUAGUUGAUCAUUUACACAAGUAAACGCAAGUUAAAUAAAAUGCUUUUUAUUAUGGGCUUGUUGGUUUUUGUUUGGUUGAUUGGUUUUUGUUUUGUUUGUUUUCUCAAGAAGGCCUGGAUUGAAACAAGCUACAUAGACCAGGCUGGCCUUGAAUUUAGAGUGAUUCUCCUGUCUCAGCUUCCUAAGUUCUGGGACUGUUGGCAUGCACUGUCAUGGCCUGUCUUCAUUGUAAGCUUUCCUAAUAAGGGACCGGUGCUUUGGUGACUUGCUGUGCAGAUAAAUUGGUUGCUUGACUUACUUGGGGGUUGUUUAUAGCUAGUACUUAGACAUAGUUAAGAGAGUACUACUGUCCUUUCAGAGGCCCACAUCAGGUAACUCCAGUUCUAGGAGACCUCAUACCCUCGGGCCUUGCUGGCACCUGCAUGGACGUGAUGCACCUAAACCCACACAGAAACACACGCGUUUCCAUAUGAGUAAAUCU
rnacentral:lncRNA from 1 species